rnacentral:rRNA from 1 species
AGAUUGAACGCUGACGGCGUGCCUAACACAUGCAAGUCGAGCGGUAACAGGUGUAGCAAUACAUGCUGACGAGCGGCGAACGGGUGAGUAAUGCUUCGGAAUCUACCCACGGGUGGGAAUAACCAACCGAAAGGUUGGCUAAUACCGCAUAAGUCCUACGGGGAAAGACGGGGAGUCGAAGACUCGCGCCGGUGGAUGAGCCGAAGCCGGAUUAGCUAGUUGGUAGGGUAAGUGGCCGUACCAAGGCGACGAUCCGUAGCUGGUCUGAGAGGACGACCAGCCACACUGGGACUGAGACACGGCCCACGACUCCUACGGGAGGCAGC